rnacentral:tRNA from 1 species
GGGCCGGUGGUGUAGCCUGGCUUAACACACCUCCCUGUCAAGGAGGAGAUCACGGGUUCGAAUCCCGUCCGGCUCGCCA